rnacentral:rRNA from 1 species
AAAUCCGCCGUGAAGGGCAAGGCCAAAAGCCGGCCUGACUGCGUCCUCAACACCAAGGGACGCAGGGGCGAAAGCCUGGCCUAGCGAACCCCGAUGUCCCUCUUGAUGAGGGCUCGGGAUGACAGAAAAGGUACCCCGGGGAUAACAGAGUUGUCGCGGGCGAGAGCCCCCAUCGACCCCGCGGCUUGCUACCUCGAUGUCGGUUCUUCCUAUCCUGGCCGUGCAGCAGCGGCCAAGGGUGGGGUUGUUCGCCCAUUAAAAGGGAACGUGAGCUGGGUUUAGACCGUCGCGAGACAGGUCGGAUGCUAUCUUUCGGGGGUGCUGGGUACCUGAGGGGAAGGUGGCCUCAGUACGAGAGGAACAGGCUACCGGCGCCUCUGGUUUACCGGUUGUCCGACAGGGCACAGCCGGGCAGCUACGCGCCAGCCGAUAAGGCCUGAAAGCAUCUAAGGCCGAAGCGGCCCUCGAAAAUAGGUACCCAUUUCCGGCGGCUCCGAAAGGGGCGCUCGCGCCGGCGACGGCGCGGGAGGCCGGAACAAGGGCUGGGGCUAGAAGACCCCGUUGAUAGGCCGGGGGUGUAAGCGCGAAGCUUCGGCGACGCGCUCAGCCCGCCGGUACUAAUCGCCCGAGGUUCGUUUCCU